AAAAACAUAGCCUUUAGCAACACCAGUAUUAAAGGUCCUGCCUGCCCAGUGAAACUUGUUUUAACGGCCGCGGUAUUCUAACCGUGCAAAGGUAGCGUAAUCACUUGUCUUCCAAAUAAAGACCAGUAUGAAUGGCUAAAUGAGGAUAAACCUGUCUCCUACACCCCAUCAGUGAAACUGAUCUUCCAGUCCAAAAGCUGGAAUAUUAACACAAGACGAGAAGACCCUGUGGAGCUUAAAACUUACUAUUAACAAACUCAACAAGAGUAACUACUACUAGGUUUUGAGUUGGGGCGACUUCGGAACAAAACAAAACUUCCGAGCACAGGACCACCAUUCCAACCAAGGCUUACAAGCCGAAAUAUAUUUGACCCAGUCACACUGAUCAACGAACCAAGUUACCCCAGGGAUAACAGCGCCAUCUUCUUCAAGAGUCCAUAUCGACAAGAAGGUUUACGACCUCGAUGUUGGAUCAGGACACCCUAAUGGUGCAGCCGCUAUUAAAGGUUCGUUUGUUCAACGAUUAACAGUCCUACGUGAUCUGA
rnacentral:rRNA from 1 species